CUGGAUGCCCACGAGCAGGCCAGUUACAAUGAGACAGAAUACCAGGUCGAACGUUUUGGUGCAAGGGGCGACGUCGGGGCAUAUUGGCAGUCUAUUUUUAUGGAACGCGCACCAUUGUCCACUGAUAAAGGCUUUGCACGGCCAACAGCCAGGAAUGUAAGGAACAUGCCAGCCGCAAGACAAGAGCGUGAUUUCAAUGAGGCUCGCGCUCAAGCACAAGCCGGGUCGACCAGUCAUAUGAACAAGCAUGAAAAGAACUAAGCUCUAGUAAUUCAAUUCUUGCUCUCGGCCAAAUAAAUAAUAAAUAACCACAUAAA